rnacentral:rRNA from 1 species
UACGUAGGGGGCGAGCGUUGUUCGGAUUUACUGGGCGUAAAGAGCGCGUAGGUGGUUCGAUAAGUCGGAGGUGAAAGCCCUCGGCUCAACCGAGGAUCCGCGUCCGAUACUGUUGGACUUGAGUGCGGGAGAGGAGAGCGGAAUUCCCAGUGUAGCGGUGAAAUGCGUAGAUACUGGGAGGAACACCAGUGGCGAAGGCGGCUCUCUGGACCGUUACUGACACUGAGGCGCGAAAGCUAGGGGAGCAAACGGGAUUAGAUACCCCGGUAGUCCUAGCCGUAAACGAUGGGCACUAGGUGUGGGAGGUAUCGACCCCUUCCGUGCCGCAGCUAACGCAUUAAGUGCCCCGCCUGGGGAGUACGGCCGCAAGGUUG